UAUCUCUGUAGAGUCUGCAUAUCAAUAAGCGGAGGAAAAGAAACUAACUAGGAUUCCCUCAGUAACGGCGAGUGAAGCGGGAAGAGCUCAAAUUUGAAAUCUUCAAGGUUCUACCUUGACGAAUUGUAGUUUAAAGAAGUGUUUUCUGUUGGAGUUUUGGUAAAAGUUCUUUGGAAUAGGACAUCAUAGAGGGUGAGAAUCCCGUAUUUGACCAUUACUUCCAGCGUUGUGAUACACUUUCAAAGAGUCGGAUUGUUUGGGAAUGCAGUCCAAAAUGGGUGGUAAAUUUCAUCUAAAGCUAAAUACUGGCGAGAGACCGAUAGCGAACAAGUACCGUGAGGGAAAGAUGAAAAGAACUUUGAAAAGAGAGUUAAACAGUACGUGAAAUUGUCAAAAGGGAAGCGUUUGACACCAGUGUUGUUUUCUCGAAAAUCAAUUAACAAAUGCUUGAUUUUGUAGUUGUAUUAGACCUUAUCAGCUUACUGCUACUCUUUUCUUGAUUCUUUCUUAAUGCACUUUUUGGUUAACAAGUCAACAUCAAUUUCUUUUGUUGUAAAAGAGUCAUUGGAAGGUGGCUUUCACUUCGGUGAAAGUGUUUAUAGCCUUUGGCUUCUGCAAUCGGAGAGAUUGAGGUCUGCAGCGUAGAUCCUUCGGGGCUAGAUACGUAGAUGCUAAGUUAUAGUUUUUUAUAGACAACUUGUUGACUAUAAUUAAUCAUGUAGCUUACUCGUUUGCGCUAUUUUACCUACGCUUAGGAUGUUGAAGAUGUAGCACAUCAU
rnacentral:rRNA from 1 species